UUAACGUUUGCGUUCAAAUUUAAUAAUGAAUUCAAUUUAAUGAAUAAAUACAAUUUUGCCAAAAAUUACAAAAAAACUUUCCUUUUUCUUCUUUUAGACUGCGCUUUCUGAUGACAAAAAUUAGGGUGCAAUAAAGGCAGCUUGCAAUUGUGGUUCUUCCCAACAAGUAAGUACGAAAGGCAAAUAAAGGUGGAGUGUCGAUAGCACUUAAAAUCGACGAACGGAUUAAAAGCCUGGUUACCUAACCUUGAAUAGAGCUCUAUUCAACGUCGUGUACCUGCAGACUAACCAAAAGAGAAAAAAAACGCGGAAUUUAAUUAUGAUGCUUCGUCGUUCAUCUGUCUGUCCGAGGUUUCUUGUAUUAAAUGUAGAUUGGGAAUACCAAGCCACGCUGGGUUAGCAAUGGCGCAAAAUCAGCGGCUCCCUCGAUGGAUUGGAUGGGCGAUGGUGUGGCUUGUAGGCUCCAAUUCUUCAUGAAUUUUUAGGUUUAAGAAUUAUUUUCUUGCUUUAGAUUCUUAGUUAAUUGUUUUGGUUUUUUUUUUUCAAUUUUGUUAAAUUGUUUCCAAACUUUGUUUAAUUUAAAAAAAAAGUUCAAUUUUUCUUUUAAUUUUCAAUUUUUGUGAAAACUAUUUGUUUUGUUAUAAGUUUUCUUUCAACAUUUAGCCUUUUGUUGUUAAAUUUUGCUUAAUUAUUUUAAGGCUUCCAAUUUUGUUAAAAAAAAAGUUUGUAUUUCGUGUUGUUAGUAUAUGUGUUUUUAAACAAAUAAAAACAUUGAAUUCACUUCUCAACAAGUGGUUCAUCACCAAAAACUUUGUCUGCUUUUUUCUUCGCUGGUUACAGGGAGCCGCGCAUCCAAUCUUCUUCGCAGGUAAAAUCAAAAAGGACAGAUUUUUCUUACAAUUUUUGCCAGGAAAUUCUG